rnacentral:tRNA from 1 species
GCGACAUUAGCUCAGUUGGUAGAGCGAUACCUUGCCAAGGUAUAGGUCAUCGGUUCGAACCCGAUAU